GACAGAGGGUGCAAACGUUGUUCGGAAUUACUGGGCGUAAAGCGUGUGUAGGCGGUCAAGUAAGUCGGAUGUGGAAGCCCCGGGCUCAACCCGGGAAGUGCACUCGAAACUGCAUGACUUGAGUAUCGGAGAGGUUGGUGGAAUUCUCGGUGUAGAGGUGAAAUUCGUAGAUAUCGAGAGGAACACCGGUGGCGAAGGCGGCCAACUGGACGAAUACUGACGCUGAGACACGAAAGCGUGGGGAGCAAACAGG
rnacentral:rRNA from 1 species